rnacentral:rRNA from 1 species
CCUACGGGGGGCAGCAGUGAGGAAUAUUGGUCAAUGGGCGGAAGCCUGAACCAGCCAAGUAGCGUGCAGGAUGAAGGCCCUACGGGUCGUCAACCGCUUUUGCACGGGGAUAAAACCAUCCACUUGUGGAGGUCUGCAGGUAUCGUUCGAAUAAGGGCCGGCUAAUUCCGUGCCAGCAGCCGCGGUAAUACGGAAGGCCCGAGCGUUAUCCGGGUUCAUUGGGCUUAAAGGGAGCGUAGGUGGGCGUUAAAGUCUGCUGUAAAAUCUCGCGGCUCAACCGGACCCCGCAGUUGAAACUGGACGCCUUGAGUUCACAUCAGGCAGGCGGAAUUCGUGGUGUAGCGGUGAAAUGCAUAGAUAUCACGAGGAACCCCGAUUGCGAAGGCAGCCUGCCGGGGUGCGACUGACGCUGAGGCUCGAAGGUGCGGGUAUCAAACAGGAUUAGAUACCCGAGUAGUC